UGUAGUCUUUGCGCUCGUGAACGAGGAAGUCUGGGGGCUGUAGGCCGACUGUGUGACAUUGUGACAGGGACCCUUGGGCGUGGUAACGACCCUAAGCCAGGGGUAACGGGGUUCCUGCAUGGGGUUCUCGCGGGCCUGACUUAACAAGCAGCAUAGAGCGGCCCCUGAUACUAAUACACAUAUACUGAUAUAGUACCAUACAUAUACUGAUACACUGCACUUCAUGCCGGUGCCGCUGCACUUCUGUUCCUCUCCCCCACUUUGCUCUCUCGCGCUUGCUACUUCUCUUUGUAACACAAAUUUAUGCUAGCUCAAAUGUCAGUAGAACAAGAGCUGGCGGCAGACGCUGCUUGGCUGGCUUGGGACGCGAGUCCUCACGCUGCUGACUGCUCGUUGACCGGCUUGGCAACGCUGCUCACACGUCAGCUGCAGCCAGCUAUUACUUGAGAGAAACGACUAUGCCUCAUAAUCUAUCAGCUGCGCUUCAAAUGUCCGACCGAGAAGUCUCGGCGGUCGCCGGCGUCAACAACGCCAUUCAACAUCGUGUUCUGUCAACAUCACCCUCGCCCCGCACGCCAGAGUCCGCAGGUUAGUCUGCAGGUUAGUCCGCAGGUUGAAUGACGAUGGGAUGCGUUGAACCUAGUGGUACCUCGCAAGCCAGUGUGCAUGGUUCAUCUUCUCGCGCUGUGUUGGGUUGUUUGGUGGAGCCCCCGCCUACAACUAGUGACUGUCUGCUGCCUCCCUUACCAGCGCUCGCUGUAAGGUGUUUUUAUGGCUCCCUUGCCACGGUGCCUUGUGUCUCACAUACCACCCCGCCCCCCUCCGCACGCACACACCCUGCCCCGCGACAGCUUGCUGCCCAACCCCUGUUGUACCCUAUGGACCGUAUGGUUGGCUGGACUGCCCCUACACCUCCAGCAUUGUGCUCAUCAACGGUGAGUGUCCGUGACACGUGUGGGCGCGCACACAUGCACAUGUGCACACAGACACGCCUUGUGUGGUAGGCCCCGUGCACUGCCAAGCACUCUGUCCAUGGCUGGCCUUGACAUGCAUUGGCACCUACCCGUCUUGUGGCAGACGAUUAACUGGGUGUGUCUAUGUGUGUGCACGCAUGCAUGCAGUCGCUGCCGGUGGAAGCAAAACUACAGGAGCCAGCGUGACACCAGCUGUCUGGCGCUAGAGAUGGAGGCGGGCGCGGCGGCGCCAGUGGCAUAGUUUGGCAUGGUAGCUGUGGUGGCGGCGGGCGUCAAGGUGGUGGGUCAGAGACGUUGUGCCCAGCAGACAUGCAAGUGGUUGCUGCCAGUGGCUAGUUGCACGUUCACAUGCAGACAUGACUAGGCGUAUUGUUGCAUGUACAUAUGGACUUGCGGUAGUGUUGCAUAAGUGUUGCAUGAGCAUCUGCACUUGUCGUGCUAUCAAGCCUUGACAGAUGGCUAGCAUGUGGAGUAGCGGUAGGACUACAUAGUUCUUACGUUAGUACUGAGGUAGGCCUUCAGCAAAGCACAAGGCUGCCAUGUAACGGGCGUCAAAGUGAUGGUUACUGGUGUGCCUUGUAGACCGUGACAAGGCUGUUACCAUGGCUGGUUAAGAUGGUAAGCAGAUCGUAGUGAGAUCGUAACGAUGCCGGAGGGGUAACGAUCUACGACCUAGGUAACAGCGAUCGUAACGAUCGUUUGGGUGCCAUAGGGCAUAUCACCUGCAUACACAGCACCACCGGCGUUGCAAGAGGCAUGGUGACAAGCCUUUCCCCGAGAUACAUGCUGUAUCUCACAUGCUGUAUACAUGCCCUGUCCGUUGAGCUGCCCACUGCACACAUGUCUUGGUGCUCCUUUUCAUGUGGAUUGCAUCACGAAAUCUGACUUACCACCAAAAUGCAAAAGCGCCAUUGCCAGCAGCACAUGCACCGAUGAGACGAAGGUUGACAUGAGAAUAAGGCGGCCGGGGAAUUGCAAGCAGAUAUUUGCAUGCAUAAGCAAUUGCAAACUAUUAGGACCCCGUGCGAAAGCGCAGGCAGGGCAGACGAAUGGUUGUUGACCGCGACAGGAAAACACUGCUGUAGACGUUUUGAGCUGAUACAAUGCGAGUUCUCAGUCAGAAACUUACAUUCUUGGGCCUUGAGCCUGUUUGGCCUUGAAUUUUGUGCAGGUCGGCGAAGGUCAGCGACAAAGGCCUCCACUUUGACCAAGUUUGUAGCACCUCCGCCAACCCCUCAGGCAUGCUCGCAAGCUUGUGUCUAACAUAGUUGCUAUGAAAUAGCAUCGUGCAGUAUCAUAGAGGGUUUGAGAACGUGGAACACUGCAUGCCGAUAUCGCUUGCAACAGAGAUAGGCUGUAACAGGCUAGCGAUACAUUUAACAACUUGUUAGUAUUAAAU
rnacentral:lncRNA from 1 species